rnacentral:rRNA from 1 species
CAAUAGCGUAUAUUAAAGUUGUUGCGGUUAAAAAGCUCGUAGUUGAAGUGUCUAUCUUUUGCCGGUGUGUUCAAUGAAUACAUCUGGAGAGAGAUUGUUUUCGAGGGUCGUUGAGCCUUAAUUGGUUCAAUGUAACUCGGGCUUUUACUUUGAGGAAAAUAGAGUGUUCCAAGCAGGCGCAGCCUUGUAUAUCUUAGCAUGGAAUAAUAACAUAUGACAUUAGCUCUAUUUUAUUGGUUUACGGUGCUUCUGUAAUGGGUAAUAGAAGCUGUCGGGGGUAUUCGUAUUCGACUGUUAGAGGUGGAAUUCUUGGAUUUGUCGAAGACGAACAACUGCGAAAGCAUUUACCAAGGAUGUUUUCAUUAA